rnacentral:tRNA from 1 species
GCGGGUGUAGCACAUCGGCUAGUGCAUCGGCCUUCCAAGCCGAGGAGGUGGGUUCGAUUCCCAUCACCCGCUCCA